UUAGGGAGACCUACCCAAAUCAGAAAUCGAAAGCCAAAAGCCAGAAGGCGAAAGCCGAAAGCUCAAAGGGAAUAGAGACUGAGAUGGUCUACUCUAGGUCGGUCGAGAUUGGUGAAAGCUUUCAAAGUAUUACUAUUCCGGUUUAAAAAGAGGAAGAAUCAGCAACUAACGCUUGUUAGACUGCUGAGGAAACUCAGCCAGAACCUUGAAAACUGCAUAGAAACGCGAUUAGAGCAGGCAGACACAAGUAUUGGAAAGAUAUGAAGUGUUUGCGGGAUUUGAACCAAUGUAAAAGU
rnacentral:misc_RNA from 1 species